rnacentral:rRNA from 1 species
GAUGAACGCUGGCGGCGUGCCUAAUACAUGCAAGUCGAGCGAACAGACGAGGAGCUUGCUCCUCUGACGUUUGCGGCGGACGGGUGAGUAACACGUGGAUAACCUACCUAUAAGACUGGGAUAACUUCGGGAAACCGGAGCUAAUACCGGAUAAUAUAUUGAACCGCAUGGUUCAAUAGUGAAAGACGGUUUUGCUGUCACUUAUAGAUGGAUCCGCGCCACAUUAGCUAGUUGGUAAGGUAACGGCUUACCAAGGCAACGAUGCGUAGCCGACCUGAGAGGGUGAUCGGCCACACUGGAACUGAGACACGGUCCAGACUCCUACGGGAGGCAGCAGUAGGGAAUCUUCCGCAAUGGGCGAAAGCUUGACGGAGCAACGCCGCGUGAGUGAUGAAGGUCUUCGGAUCGUAAAACUCUGUUAUUAGGGAAGAACAAAUGUGUAAGUAACUAUGCACGUCUUGACGGUACCUAAUCAGAAAGCCACGGCUAACUACGUG